UGCUGUUGAACGUAAUGGAUGAAGCUACUC
rnacentral:piRNA from 1 species